GCCUCAAGUUAUGUGUGACAACCCCCUGAAUUUAAGCAUAUUAAUAAGGGGAGGAAAAGAAACCAACCGGGAUUCCCUGAGUAGCUGCGAGCGAAACGGGAGAAGCUCAGCACGUAGGGAUGGCGGCCCGCCCGUCUAUCCGAUUCCGUGUACUGGUACGUCUCACUAUCCGUCUUCCUAGUGGUAUUCAAGUCCAACUUGAACGUGGCUUUGAACCCAUAGAGGGUGAUAGGCCCGUAGAACACCACCCAGCGGUUGAUGGACCGAGCGUACCAUGGAGUCGUGUUGCUUGAUAGUGCAGCACAAAGUGGGAGGUAAACUCCUUCUAAAGCUAAAUACGACCAUGAGACCGAUAGUAAACAAGUACCGUGUGGGAAAGUUGAAAAGCACUCUGAAUAGAGAGUCAAAUAGUACGUGAAACUGCCGAGGGUGUAAAGCCUGUUGAACUCGAUUAUCCGUAGUUCCUGGCAUCGUGGGUUUUGGCUGUCACGCAGAAGGGGGCCUUCUGUAUGCCUUGACCCUAGCCAGGAACGAGUGCGGACAUCGUGAUCCAUUACGCAAACCAAAUGCGAGCGGCGACUCCGGUUGCUGCGAGCAUAUCCAACAUCAGGUCCCAGAACAUGCGGUCGACCCUCUAGUAGUGGCGCUCAGCUUAAGGCCGGCGUCGCCAACGGGGGAUCGAGGCUCCGGUCUCGAGUUCGGCUAGUUCCGGUGUGCCGUUGGAUGCGUGAUGGGCAUUGAAGUGAACUAGAGAAGUGUGAAGCGCAUGUUUGGGCAUGUUCAAGGGCGAAAGCCUGAGCCGAGCACGACUCCGGAUCUACGAUGUACUAACUAAUCGAGGUACCUACGGGACCCGUCUUGAAACACGGACCAAGAAGUCUAUCUUGCGCGCAAGUCAAUGGGAGUAGCAAACCCAAAGGCGAAGAUAACACAACUGCAAAGUCGUUGCGGGAUUACGGGUGCACCACAGUCCGCGAGGACUGGCUAGCUGUGCCGCCCCUCCAUCCCCGGGUGUUUAGCAACGGAUCUGUAGUGCCGCGGACCCCCCGACAGGGGUGGGCAUUUGCAGAGCCAACGCGACAUACCGCGAGCGCGCAGGAUGUGACCCGAAAGAU
rnacentral:rRNA from 1 species